UGGGGAAUUUUGGACAAUGGGCGAAAGCCUGAUCCAGCAAUGCCGCGUGUGUGAAGAAGGCCUUCGGGUUGUAAAGCACUUUUGUCCGGAAAGAAAUCCUUGGCUCUAAUACAGUCGGGGGAUGACGGUACCGGAAGAAUAAGCACCGGCUAACUACGUGCCAGCGGCCGCGGUAAUACGUAGGGUGCAAGCGUUAAUCGGAAUUACUGGGCGUAAAGCGUGCGCAGGCGGUUUGCUAAGACCGAUGUGAAAUCCCCGGGCUCAACCUGGGAACUGCAUUGGUGACUGGCAGGCUAGAGUAUGGCAGAGGGGGGUAGAAUUCCACGUGUAGCAGUGAAAUGCGUAGAGAUGUGGAGGAAUACCGAUGGCGAAGGCAGCCCCCUGGGCCAAUACUGACGCUCAUGCACGAAAGCGUGGGGAGCAAACAGGAUUAGAUACCCUGGUAGUCCACGCCCUAAACGAUGUCAACUAGUUGUUGGGGGAUUCAUUUCCUUAGUAACGUAGCUAACGCGUGAAGUUGACCGCCUGGGGAGUACGGUCGCAAGAUUAAAACUUAAAUGAAUUGACGGGGUCAUAGCUGUUUCCU
rnacentral:rRNA from 1 species